UUGGUAUCUUAGUGGCGGACGGGUGAGUAACGCGUGGGUAACCUGCCUUAUACAGGGGGAUAACACUUAGAAAUAGGUGCUAAUACCGCAUAAGCGCACGGGGCUGCAUGGCCCAGUGUGAAAAACUCCGGUGGUAUAAGAUGGACCCGCGUCUGAUUAGCUUGUUGGCGGGGUAACGGCCCACCAAGGCGACGAUCAGUAGCCGGCCUGAGAGGGUGGACGGCCACAUUGGGACUGAGACACGGCCCAAACUCCUACGGGAGGCAGCAG
rnacentral:rRNA from 1 species